GGGGGUUUAGCUCAGCUGGCUAGAGCACCUGCCUUGCACGCAGGGGGUCAUCGGUUCGAAUCCGAUAUCCUCCA
rnacentral:tRNA from 1 species